rnacentral:rRNA from 1 species
UGCAGGGAAAAACUGUUUUAAACUUAAAAAUUAAAUUUAUUUUAAUUUGUGAAGAAACAAUUAUUUAAAUUAAGGACAAGAAGACCCUAAGAAUUUUAAAAAUAAUAAUUUUAAUAUUAAAAUUAUUAUUUUUUGGUUGGGGCAACUAAAAAAGAUUAUAAACUUUUUAUUUAAUAAAAUGAUCCAUUAUUAAUGAUAAUUUGAUAAAAAUACUCUAGGGAUAACAGCGUAAUAAUUUUUGAUAGAACAUAUAGACAAAAUAGUUUGCGACCUCGAUGUUGGAUUAGGAUACUUUUUUAAUGAAGAUGUUAAAAAAAGAAGUUUGUUCAACUUUUAAAGUCCU